rnacentral:lncRNA from 1 species
CAAUGACAGAGCUGUUCCACGUCCACACCCUCCGGUGUGACAGCCACACGUGGCCACCAGACAGGAAGCAUCUCCUGAACAAAAGAGACCCUGGAUUAACAAGGUAGCAAGUGGCUACCUUGUUGGCCAAUACGAGAAGCUCUGGAAUCCCAGAAGGGAAGCUCUGCUCUUCUGUGACAGGGCAGCCGUUACCCUACGUGUGGAGAUCACAGAGUGUUCAGAGGGAGCCUGGAUCCUGCAAUCUAGAAAUACGGAGAUCCAGGUGACGUGCUUUUUUCUAUCUGCAGCAAGGGCCCAAACAAUGCUUCUAAGAUGUAAUGCGCUGCCAACAUUCCGGGAACAAGAGAG